GAUGAACGCUGGCGGCGUGCCUAAUACAUGCAAGUCGAGCGAAUGGAUUAAGAGCUUGCUCUUAUGAAGUUAGCGGCGGACGGGUGAGUAACACGUGGGUAACCUGCCCAUAAGACUGGGAUAACUCCGGGAAACCGGGGCUAAUACCGGAUAACAUUUUGAACCGCAUGGUUCGAAAUUGAAAGGCGGCUCCGGCUGUCACUUAUGGAUGGACCCGCGGUGCAUUAGCUAGUUGGUGAGGUAACGGCUCACCAAGGCAACGAUGCGUAGCCGACCUGAGAGGAUGAUCGGCGAACCGGGGACGGAGACCCGGGCCCGACUCCUACGGGAGGAAGCAGUAGGGAAUCUUCCGCAAUGGACGAAAGGCGGACGGAGCAACGCCGCGUGAGUGAUGAAGGCUUUCGGGUCGUAAAACUCUGUUGUUAGGGAGGAACAAGUGCUAGUUGAAUAAGCUGGCACCUUGACGGUACCUAACCAGAAAGCCACGGCUAACUACGUGCCAGCAGCCGCAGUAA
rnacentral:rRNA from 1 species